GACGAACGCUGGCGGCAGGCUUAACACAUGCAAGUCGAACGCUCUCUUCGGAGAGAGUGGCAGACGGGUGAGUAACGCGUGGGAAUCUACCCAGUACUACGGAACAACACAGAGAAAUUUGUGCUAAUACCGUAUACGCCCUCCGGGGGAAAGAUUUAUCGGUAUUGGAUGAGCCCGCGUUUGAUUAGCUAGUUGGUGAGGUAACGGCUCACCAAGGCGACGAUCAAUAGCUGGUCUGAGAGGAUGAUCAGCCACACUGGGACUGAGACACGGCCCAGACUCCUACGGGAGGCAGCAGUGGGGAAUAUUGGACAAUGGGCGCAAGCCUGAUCCAGCCAUGCCGCGUGUGUGAUGAAGGCCCUAGGGUUGUAAAGCACUUUCAACGGUGAAGAUAAUGACGGUAACCGUAGAAGAAGCUCCGGCUAACUUCGUGCCAGCCGCCGCCGUAACAC
rnacentral:rRNA from 1 species